rnacentral:lncRNA from 1 species
GGUGGCCAAAGGGACCCACUCGCUCACUCGUUCGCUCUCUUUCGCUCGGCAGACACCGGGCAGUCCCCCGCCGGCCGGCCGCGAGAGGACACAGAAGGUGUCCCGGGGAACUCAGGUGACCCCGCCCGCCCCCCACAGAAAGAGACAGAAGAGGGCUCCUUCCCACCCCCUCGGCGGCCAGGCGGGGAGCAGAGGAGGCAGGACUCAGCCCCGCUCAGUUCGCCGCGGGCGAGCGCGGUUCCCGAAGUGGGUGCGAGCGGGAAGGGGAGCAGGGGGGCGGCGGCAGAGCGCAGCGGGGCGUCCGGGGGGCGCCGGUCCGCGAGGCGGGCGCACGCACCAGACAGGAGAGCGGUGAGAAAGCCCGGCGCCCCGGAGUUACUCUGCGUGGCCAGAGCGAGAGGGGCAAGGAGCGGGGCAAGGAGCGGGGUCGCCGCCGGCUGGAGACGCGGGGCGAGGAGAGGAAGAGGAGGCGGAGAAGAGGAGGAAGGGGAAGCGGCUCGUACCUGCUGCGCGCCGGGGCGCCUGCUGCUUCCUCCUCGGCAUGAUGCUCCUCCGGCGACUGCCACUGCCGCCGCCGCCGCCGCCGCCGCCGCUGCCGGGCUGAGAGGGAGGGAGGGAGGGGCGGCGGGCCCGCGGGGGGGCGAGGCGGGCCGGCUCUCAGCCUCCCCCCCGGAGAGCGGCCGCCCGCAGGAUGCUGCUGCGCCCCGGCUCUCCGCGUCCCCCCCGCUCAGCGCUCCGCCGCGAUCCCCGAACGUGCGGAGGGAAGAAGGAGGGCGGGCGAGGGAGGCGCGGGGAGGGAGGAGCGCGGGGGGAGGAGGAGGCAGAGGAGGAGGAGGUGGUGAAGGAGGAGGAGGAGGAGGAGGAGGACCGCGCUGCCGGCGGAAUGGGAAGUUUGACAAAUCGCUCCAGAGGCCGGAGGAGGAGGGGCGGAGAGGAGCGGCAGCCCUGCCCCCCCCACCCCCCGCCCCGUCCCCAGACGAGGUGCGCGGGGUUCGGGGCCGGGGGGCGGGGAGUGGGGAGAAGGCGGGCAGAGGGGUGGGAGGAGGCGCACCGGAGCGGCCCCGGCCGGUGAAGCCCGGGUCCCCGCCCCCGGGCAGGAGGGUCACGGCAUCGGUGGGGGCGCUCAGCCGCCGCCGCCGCCGCGGCCCGGGGCUCAGCGGUCCAGUCUUCUGCCCGCGGCGCGGCUGGAGCGGCGGCGUCGGCAACAGACCAGGAGACCUCGAUCUCACCCUGACGGUAAGAUCAAAAGUCUCCGCUCGCCCCCAGCCUGCGGGCUUGGGCUCGGUCCAGACGCCUCCCUGAAUGCAGAUGUGCUGCCGCCGUCCUCCGGGGCUAUAAAGCCGCCUCCUGCGCCUUGGCGUGCGCAGGAGCGCACGGAGUUGCGGGAUGCGGACCCUGGGCGGUUGCGGGGAGUUGGAGUCUAGCUGCGGCUGGGCCCCGGGCUGGCCUCGUGCGUGGGGCGGGCGCGUGGCGCGGAGUUGGUGCCUGCGGCCGCAGAGGCCAGAGCAACUGCCCCUCCAGGCCCGGGAGACGCGGCCGUGGGGCGUGAAACGCUUCUUGCGAAGGAGAAAACGGUGAGUUGGCAGACGCCGCCCGCGGCCUCAGGAUUCUAGGAUUCUGGUUGCGGCACUGAUCACCACUUGCCUGAAGGAGAGUAGGCGCCGCGGGAGGUCACCUCCUGCCGCCCUGACUCACCUUCCACACGCCGAGCGCCCGCUUGGGUCCACGGGUUGUAGCGAGUGCACAGCACUGAGCACCGUGCACGGAAGGCUGAGACUUUCGCCCUGGCUCGUGCUCCCCCUCCUCCUCUCCUUCCCGGCGCAGCUUUCCAAAUCUCAGUUCCCUCCGCCCUCUCCCCCUGUCGGCCGUGGCCUGAGCUCCGGUCUCAGCGUAGCCCGCAGCCACCGCCCGAUCGCUGCCUCGCCCUCCCCCGCUCAGGCACUGCGCGCAGUGCGAUCCGCCCCAACAUCUGUCCGUCCAACCAUUGGCGCAUCCAUCAGUGUCAAUGAGCUGCACAUCGCCGCGACAGCCCGUCACGCACAACACGGGCUAUGCGGGGUGCAUAUUGCGACCGCGCUACUUUGCCGGGGCACGAAAACAAGGUUCCGGUCCGGCUUGGCACAGCUUGGAACCCUGAUCUCUACGGGGAUCUUUUAGCUACACCUACCCAGUUUAAUAUCGGGAUCUCUAAACAUGAUUAGUUUUGCAGGCCAUUCUAGGGAUGGGACAGGUGCAGGGGAACAGUGUCAACCAAGCCCUUGCAUUCUGCCAAGUUCUCUGCCCCUUUUCUGUGGACUGGGUGUGGCAUAGGAAAGAAGGGAGGUAGGUUUCCCAAAUCCGCAGCAAGCACGAUAUAGACCUGGAAGCUACCUCAACUCCGUGGCUUAAAUCUUCAGCUUGGCCGAGUCCAAGGGUGUCGAGGUCGCCAGGCAGGUGUUAGCCAAAAGGUCUCAAUCUACAAGUUUGCCAGGCCCCGCCUGGCUGCUUGGUACCAUGGCCUGACAGUGAGGAGACAAGAAGGGAAGAAAGAGGAGGGAUCCAUGGGUUCUCAUGGAUUCGAGUGAGAACUAUGAGCUCGAUUUAGGGAGAAAUAGUUUCUGGGUGGCAGUAUGUCUGUAAUUCACAUGUUAUUUACAGAGGGAGAGAGAACGGGGUCAUAAGUUGGAGAAGCCAGUGCUUUGCAGGGAGUUGCCGACCAUUCCCCAAGAGUGCUGACCCCGGACGGUGGUGGCCUGCUCCCCUGCUUCUGCUUCUUGCUUUUCCCUAUCGUCCCCUAACCCAAGAUCCAGAAGACAGACACCUUCACAUAUGUCCCUGAUCAUAGGAUCAAUCUGGCCGGGCCAGGGGCCUUUCAUGUCCUCCCAAGAACUUAAGAGGAAGAGUGUACGUAGAACCUCCUCCUGGGACAUCUGUGGGGCGGCUGUCCCUGGCACUUCCCCUGAUAUAUUUGUGUUAUUACUACUGAAAAUAUAUCUGUCCGGUGCCUGGUGAGUUCGGUCCCUCCGAGUCGACUACACACGCGGGUCAAACCUGCGCGUCUCAUGGUUCCGCGAUUCCCGAGUUCGGAGGGAUACAGAAACCGGUUUCAGGCAUGCUCCCAGGCCUGCGCGGUUCAGGAGGAGGCCAGAGACCGCUGAGGCGGCGCUAGCUGGGGCUCCUUCCUUGGGAAGGACGGUCCGCGCUCUAGGGUGCCGGCUUCGCGCACCGCAUCCAGCAGCUGAAUCAUUUCCACGCUAGACUAGAGGGCGGAAAAGCCCGCGCCUGGCAGAGGACCUAGAAUUCUGUAGAAGGCACACUGUGCAGAAAUCUUUGUACCCUACUCUGAAGAGUUGCAGAGACCUUUCCUUUGAAAAGCCACAAUACGGUUCUGCCCUGCAGAAGCACCUGGUAACUACUUAGCCGCGUGAGUCACGCAAAAAGUGGCCCCCUCUGGGAAGUGCCGUGUUUCUGAGAAUAAUUUUUUACACCCCUAAAAAUAAAAGGAGAAAGGGGCUGAGGGACAGUGGGGAGAUACCAAAAUGUCCGGUGGCAACCGCCUGUAGGGGAAACUGGCGGCUCCCAUUGCGAUCAGCUGGACCACCCUGUUAAGAGCCCCCCAAAUUCCCAGGGGCCAUGAAGACAACUCCUGACUCCCAAGAUUGCUCCUCGGGCGCAAUGCAACCCCGCUCCUCCUCUGCGGCGGGAUUCGGAGCCCUGUUCACUUCAAAUGGUCCCAACAGCCUUUCCUUCAGGUCAAAGGGUUAGAAGCCCGACUCCAGCUCCCGGAACUCACGGACCCCAGGCGGCAGUGCCGGGCCUACCUGAGCGGGUCUCUCCCAUCCCGGGAGCGCUUUUGUCCUUGGCUAACCCGAGCCUAGCCGGGAGAAGUCGGAAAGGGGAGAAGUACGCAGGCGUGUGAUUCGAAACAAGUGUGCGGUGGAGGGGCGAGGAUCCUGACCGCGGCGGGCGGCGCGAGGAGUCAGGAAGUUCGCGCUGGGGAAGGAGCAGGCGGGCCACCGCCUGGAGGCAGCCGAGGUUGUCUUCAAGGUGCGGUUGAGUGCUGAGUGACAGCCCGCCGGUCCCAAACCAGGCUGAAUUAAGUGUGUCCCCAUUUGGGAUGGCCAGAAGGAAAAGACCUCCGCAAAGAAGGCAUCCUUGCAGCUGGCUAUCCAGGCCGGGUAGCCAGGGCGGGCUUGGGACCCAGGGGUCUAAACAUAGACCUUAGAGAAGGGUUGUCUGGAGGAGGCGCGGGCAGCCCGCAGGGACAACGCCCUCUGGGAGACUACACCCCAUGUCAAGGUGUGAGGGCAUCUGGCCCGCCGGUGGGCCCUUGGGGAGCCCAGUGCCUGCGGGACGAGGCGGCAGCGAGGGCUCUCCAGCCGUCGCCCGCCUGGAACGUCGGCGCUCUGGUCUGGACCCUUUGACAUUCCUUGUCACCACAACCUGGGCUAGGCAGGAGGAGAUACCCUGGGUGCUGAGAGGCGGACUGCCACCACCUGCAUACCUCAGCCAGGGAUUGGGCCCAGGACCUCAGCCCCUGUCGUGGCGGGAAGAAUUCGGACCCUGGGGCCAGGCCCUAGCCAGGCGGUAAAUUGUUUGCUAAAAGUGCAUUUAUACAGCAGCGAAGUUUGUUUCUCUUUUCCGGUAGCUUUGUUUUAACGAACCAGAUGUUUUGCCCUGCAGAAGCACCUGGUAACUACUUAGCCGCGUGAGUCACGCAAAAGUGGCCCCUCUGGGAAGUGCCGUGUUUCUGAGAAUAAUUUUUUACACCCCUAAAAAUAAAAGGAGAAGGGGGCUGAGGGACAGUGGGGAGAUACCAAAAUGUCCGGUGGCAACCGCCUGUAGGGGAAACUGGCGGCUCCCAUUGCGAUCAGCUGGACCACCCUGUUAAGAGCCCCCCAAAUUCCCAGGGGCCAUGAAGACAACUCCUGACUCCCAAGAUUGCUCCUCGGGCGCAAUGCAACCCCGCUCCUCCUCUGCGGCGGGAUUCGGAGCCCUGUUCACUUCAAAUGGUCCCAACAGCCUUUCCUUCAGGUCAAAGGGUUAGAAGCCCGACUCCAGCUCCCGGAACUCACGGACCCCAGGCGGCAGUGCCGGGCCUACCUGAGCGGGUCUCUCCCAUCCCGGGAGCGCUUUUGUCCUUGGCUAACCCGAGCCUAGCCGGGAGAAGUCGGAAAGGGGAGAAGUACGCAGGCGUGUGAUUCGAAACAAGUGUGCGGUGGAGGGGCGAGGAUCCUGACCGCGGCGGGCGGCGCGAGGAGUCAGGAAGUUCGCGCUGGGGAAGGAGCAGGCGGGCCACCGCCUGGAGGCAGCCGAGGUUGUCUUCAAGGUGCGGUUGAGUGCUGAGUGACAGCCCGCCGGUCCCAAACCAGGCUGAAUUAAGUGUGUCCCCAUUUGGGAUGGCCAGAAGGAAAAAGACCUCCGCAAAGAAGGCAUCCUUGCAGCUGGCUAUCCAGGCCGGGUAGCCAGGGCGGGCUUGGGACCCAGGGGUCUAAACAUAGACCUUAGAGAAGGGUUGUCUGGAGGAGGCGCGGGCAGCCCGCAGGACAACGCCCUCUGGGAGACUACACCCCAUGUCAAGGUGUGAGGGCAUCUGGCCCGCCGGUGGGC